AAUUUUUGACAAUGGGGGAAACCCUGAUCCAGCCAUCCCGCGUGUAUGAUGAAGGCCNNNGGGUUNUCAAGUACUUUUGGCAGNGACNAAAAGGUAACUCCUAAUACGAGGUACUGCUGACGUUAUUUGCAUACCAAGCACCGGCUAACUACGUGCCAGCAGCCGCGGUAAUACGUAGGGUGCAAGCGUUAAUCGGAAUUACUGGGAGUAAAGCGUGUGUAGGCGGUUCGGAAAGAAAGAUGUGACAUCCCAGGGCUCAACCUUGGAACUGCAUUUUUAAAAGCCGAGCUAGAGUAUGUCAGAGGGGGGUAGAAUUACACGUGUAGCAGUGAAAUGCGUAGAUAUGUGGAGGAAUACCGAUGGCGAAGGCAGCCCCCUGGGAUAAUACCGACGCUCAGACACGAAAGCGUGGGGAGCAAACAG
rnacentral:rRNA from 1 species